UGGAGCGAGAACGAAUCGGAAGUUCUGAACAGAUGAGAAUGUGCAAGUCAGUGACAAAUAUGAAAGUCCGAAGAGCUACUUUCAUCACCCAGUGGAUCACAGACGCAAGGUUUUCGUAUUCUCGAACAUAGUCUACCUGGUAAACUGCAUAAGAUGAAGUCAGGGGCACAAGACCUCAAGUGGGAACACAUUAUGAUUCUUCAUGAAGUUGAUAGGGCCCAGCCUGGUCCUAGGCAACUCCAGUUGUGUUAGACAUUGACCCAUCACCAUUGACCCAUCAAUCCAAAUAGCUCUGUUCAAACGCGAGUUGCUCUUGCAGUUCAGGUAUUUGGUAAUUCUGUUUGCCGAAGAUUGACGACAUACCGGCAUUCUCCGGGAUUGGGAGAAAGUGAACAGACAGUUUCAUUUUGUCAACGGAUGAAUCGACUUUUUGAUACGUUAAAUCGAUAAGACGAUUUGGACUGUGUUACUGUCGACAAUUUUUCUCACAUCAAACACAGCUGAAGGUCGGCGUGUGACAUUGAUGUCGACAUCGGGUAUUAUCAAGUAUUAGACGGAUAAUUAUAACUUUUCUUCCGUUCUCACUAGGACAAUAAAUCAGUUCACCGUGAAGGUUUGUCUUCUACCGUACUGAACGCUUAAAACGAAGUGUCGAAUGCGUGUGCAGAAAUAGGCCAUCACAUACGUACGAUUAGUUAACCAUCGCCUUCUGUUUUUUACUAGCUAUUUGAAAGCCAUCUUCGGCUGUUAUCCAUACUCAUUUCACAUUCGCUAACCGCUUACUUGAAUUUCAAUUUCUCUCAUCUACACAGUCUACCUCAACUUGUGUGUAAAAACAUGCAUUAUGCAUUGCAAUAUAAAGAUUCUAUGCAGAAACAAUCAAACUUCUUUUAUUGUGGAUCCCAUCUCCCUAGUCUUCACGCUUCUAAGUAUAAUAUUUCAACAGGAUUGAAUUUAAAGGAAAGAUGUUAAUUAGAAGUAAGAAGUGACUGGAAUAAGGCCUGUGUCGAACAAAACACUCCAUUCAUUUUAAAUCACUUGCCCGCGUAGUCCCGAUCCCUAUUAGGACAGACGAUGCGUUACCAAGCGGACUUGGACACUCGUGUGGCCACGCAAAACCAGCCCCGUGAAUGAAAGCAAUGGUUUCAAAUUUGUAUGUUCUCCAUAAGAUCUUUUAAUUUGGUUUAAAAAGGAUACGUCUCGAGAAGAAAAACAAUCACAAUAUGGUAUAUCUGCACCAAUAGUUAAGAUAGAAAACUCUAACUUACGCCCAUCAUCUUUCAAUUGGACUACACUUUUUCAUUUAUUAAUUGAAGGAAAGAACAUUAAAAAUAUGAAGGUUAACGGCGUGCUGACAUAUGGUGGAAUGAUCCAUGUAUAUGGGACAUUCCAUGCCCACUUAGCUACCCCCCUUCCUUUUGUCCAGAAAAUACUGUCUCAUUUUGAAUUACUUUAUUCAGAUAGUAUUUAUACCAAAUUUCAUUGCUCUAUCAUUUUUUGUUCCGGAGAUAACGGUCGAAGAAUGCGAAAUUUUAAAAAAUUUAUAACUUUUGAAAGGCACAUUCGAUUUGAACAAAUUAAGAAACAAAGUUCUUUGUUUUUGCAUAUACUUUGAGAAAAAAAUACGCCUCAGCCGUAAACAAACUUCUAUCUUGAUUUUUCGCAAAAUUUUUAUUUUUUUAGUUUCUUUUUCGUAGAGCCGCCCGAUAUUCGGUUGGAACAUUUUUUUAAAAUAAAUGAUCUCGACUUAUGAGAUAAAAAAAUACGACGGUAUGGAAGAGACCCCGAGUGCAUUAGAUGUUUUUGUUUUUUUCCCUCAAAUUUACGUAUUUUGUUUACUUCAAAACACGUUGGCGUACUUCCGACGGGGAAUCAAUGUGCUAAUAAUUAUUUCCUGUUGAUUUCGGAUAGAUAUAAACACAUUACGGAAAAUGAGCGCGGCCCCAUACAUUCAUUUCCUCUAAUGUGAAAUUCCAUAUAAAUCAUAUAAAUAUAUAUACAUAUUAUUCGGUCACUUCGAUGACACUGCAAUGUUUUUGAGUAAAGUUCAAAACUGGGAACUCAAUCUCAAAAACUGAACAGCUCUUGGCAUGACCCGGGAGCACCACGUGGAGGUGGCUGUUCAAGGCUCCCAAAAAGUCGAUAACUGUGGUUGGGAAAACACAAUUUCCAACUGGCGCAUCACUGGAAUAUGCAGCCUGGUCGGAUCACGCAAGAAGAUAAUGUUCGAAUGUAAAUUGACGCUCACCUCAUGUUCUUCCUCUCUGUGCACUAACAUCCCACCUUGGUCCCUUCCUGACCACGUUUUUUUACAAAGAAGUAAUAACUCCACUUUUCCGGAGAUUGAACUACGGUUUUUUCGUUCACUUUUUCGGAACAUUGGAGGGGUUGCAUGGGUGGUGUCAAAUUUGCAGUGGGACAACUCCCUCACACGGUCCAUUUCACACUGGUGGUUACUUUGAUUACUGUCAUCAAACUGACCAGUGCUCCAUUUAACAUGUGCUGGAAUUUUCCGUUGAAGUCAUCAAAGUACUCGAAUAACAUACAUAUGAGUUUAUAUAUAUUUAUAUAAGUUGCGACGAUGGAAUCGUCAAAUGUGAUUUUUUAUCGUCGAUUAUUAUUUGAUGUACAUUAAAUUCCGUCGAGUGCUUCUCAACUGAGCCGCAACUACCGGGCAUGAACGUCGUCUAGAAAACGAUAAUGAUGGUAAUUUGAGUUCACACCAAUGGAACACUAUCGUCAUCCUGGAGAAAAAUCUCUCUGUGACAGGAUUUCGACAAGGAGAAACAUUAUCCAACUGUGAAGUCGCGGAUCACUGUAUCGUGUCGAAUAUUUGUCAAGAGUUCAAUUAACCGACGUCGAUAGCUCAAUAGGUAGGUGCCAGCCUAUUCUUCUCAAUGUAGUAAGUUCGAUUCCCCGUUGAAUCGAAUUUUUCAACAGACACCGAUGAGUGGGAGGUUGCUAAUAGAGUGACCGCCUGUAUCGACAUGGUUUUUCUGUGGUUUCGCUUGUAGGAUCUACAGCCGCAUGCAUAAGAUUAGCA